UGUUGUUUGGCCUGGGUAAGGUCUUGUAAACUAAAUUUAUGUGGUGAUAAGUGAGUCGUAAAGCUUUAUAACUGUUUGGUUGUUUAGAAUUUAGUGGGAUGUAGGUGGCUAUUAGGUCAUUUAUAUUUUUAUACAUUUGGUGAUGUGUGGUUUUUGAUAAGGUUAGAGGUACCUAGUUUUUGUUAUAUUGUUGUAAAUAUGGUUUUGUUGGUUUAUUGGUAUGUUAAUUGUUUGAACAACUGUUUUGCUAUAUUUGGUUAUUAUAUUAUCGUUGAAUAAGUAAUUUUAUUAUGCUAUUUAUUUCUUGAGUUCUUUCCGUCUGUUUAUUAAAAACAUUUCUAAUUUUAAUUGUAGUUAGUAGUGCCUGCCCAAUGUUGGUUAAUUAAUGGCCGCAGUAUAUUGACUGUGCAAAGGUAGCAUAAUUAAUUGCCUUUUAAUUGGAGGCUUGUUUGAAUGGUUUGACGUGAUUGGUAUGAAUAUUUGGUAUUUAGUUGAAAUUGAUUUUGAGGGUUUAGAAUCCUUAAUGUUUAAUAAGACGGAAAGACCCUAGGAUCUUUUGUUUUUGUUUGGGGCAAAUAUUGUUGUUUUAUGAAUAUUGUGACCCUGAGAUGAUAUUGGUUUAUUGGGUUAAG
rnacentral:rRNA from 1 species